CAGGAGUUUUAGAUACUUUUGC
rnacentral:siRNA from 1 species